GCACCGGUAGCUCACUGGCAGAGCAGUAGGAUGGUGCCAUGUGUCCCGGGUUCGAGCCCGGGCCGAUGCU